CCACAUCAGCAUCACAUUCCAUUACAACGUUAAUCAAAUCGCAAAAGCAGCAAACGCUUCAUUGCCGUAAACCUUGUAUCGCUAUUAUUGCGGUGCUGCUGGUGGUGGUACAGGAAUGAGACGUGAAUUGCAAUCGCGACCAAGAUUAUUUAUUGUUGAGCGAGUGCAGUGAUAUAAUGGUCGGAUAAUAAUAUUGUGAUGUGUACAAAAGAUUAGUCGAUGGAUGGACGCAGGCACAAGUUAGUUUGUCGUAUAAAAUAGAACAUCUUACAUAUAUCUAAGGAGUUGAAGGGCAUGUGGUGGUUUGGUUGGUUAUCAUGAUGACGACGACCAAGUGGUUAUUGGGAUGACAGUUGUGUUGUUGCUCUGUUACUCAUCUUCUUCUUCUUGCGGAGUCACUUGUGGAGUCACCAUCAUUCUGUUGGAAGGAGCGAUAUGGUUCAGACGCACGGUUUGGUGGUUGGUUCAGGAAAUUAAAAUGUGACUCUUGUUCGUCAAGCUGUGUAGUUUAUUCUCCAAUUUAAUUUGUGAGUGUAUAGUUUAUGGUCAGUUUUGUGAAGUGAAUUUUGGUGAGAGGUACAAUAUCACUUUAUUGCUUUAAAAGAAGACAGAUUAUGAAAGUGUGAAACAAUAGGCGAGCUCUGAUACAUAAUUAAGCACAUUCUUUGGAGCUUAUACAUUAUUCCGCUAAUCCCUGAAGAAGUCUUGGGAAACUUUAAUCGAUUUGAUUUUUAAACGACGAGUGUCACGUUCCAAUCUGGCCGAAUUUGCCAGCAAGAUGCGUGAGUAUAAGAUCGUAGUUCUUGGAAGUGGAGGCGUUGGGAAAUCUGCCCUCACGGUCCAGUUUGUGCAAGGAAUAUUUGUGGAAAAAUACGACCCCACGAUAGAGGACAGUUACCGGAAACAAGUCGAAGUGGAUGGACAGCAGUGCAUGUUGGAAAUUCUUGAUACUGCUGGAACCGAACAAUUCACCGCAAUGCGAGACCUGUAUAUGAAAAAUGGCCAGGGUUUCGUCCUAGUCUAUUCCAUCACUGCCCAGUCCACCUUCAAUGAUCUGCAAGACUUAAGGGAACAAAUUCUUCGAGUCAAAGAUACCGACAACGUACCAAUGGUGCUGGUGGGGAACAAAUGUGACCUGGAGGAGGAACGCGUUGUGGGGAAGGAUCAGGGUAACGCACUCGCCCAUCAGUUCAACUGCACCUUCCUCGAAACCUCAGCCAAGUGUUAGCGCGCAGAACCGUAUAUCACGAUUGCUUGACAUUUAGUAUCUAGGCAAAGGUCAAUGUCAAUGAUAUAUUCUACGACUUAGUAACACAAAUUAACAAGAUAAAUCCAGUGACAAGACCAAAACCCAAGUCCAAACGGCACUGCGUCGUCCUCUGAGCAACUCAUUACAUACAAAAAAGGAUACUCUUUUGAGCGACUGAGUCAAGUUCGUGUGCCCUAUGGUCUACUAGUCUAAAUUCGACUUGUUUCAAUGUUAUUUUGCAGAAUAUAGCGACGAUGAGGGAGGUGCUGUUUAUAUAAUGCCUAAUUUUAAGUAUCUCUCGGUGUACACCUUGUUUACGAGUAUGUGUCAGUAUGGAUGAUGGCGUGGGUGCAACAUUCCCUGCGAAAAAAACAAACAGAUCUUUUAUGAAGCUACUUACAUGUAUAUCUAAUAAAUUAGUUUUUAUUAUCGUGCGAUGGAUUGUAUUUAGUUUAACAUUGUUGUAUUUAGUGUAAUCAAAUCCUGUGGUGCUUAUGUAUUUAUGUACGUAACGUAGACGUGUAGCUUAUCUAACCCCACUGUUACCCCACCCACCCAAAUGAGAGAUUUGAUGAGGGGCGUUUGUGUCGUUGUCAUCAACAGCGCUAUAACACUACCUUCAAUAUAUAUUUAUGGUAUACGUACGCAUGUAUAUUCCUGUGAUUAACAGUUAAGAAAAGUGUUCAUCUCAAAAGUAUUCCCGUAUUAAGGAAAUGAAGGGUUCCAUGUCAGUUGGUAAAGUAAUUUAUAUUUAUUGUUUGAAACAAACGAGAUUAUUUAUUGUUACGUAAUGUACAAUGUGUCGGUAUACAUACGACAUAUUUUAUGUAUUUAGCUGUGUAUCUAAUCUACCAUGUGCAGUAUAUAUCAUUAUUGCGACUGUAUUACUUCAAACCAAAUGUUUUUUUUCUGUGUAUGCUUACUCUGAAAUAAUAAAUUUUGUCCGUUUAUAAAAAAAACUA